UACAAAAUAAGCUAAGAUUAAGCUAGUGGGCUCAUAACCCAAAAAUGAACCAAUGUUCUUUUGUAA
rnacentral:tRNA from 1 species